CGUCGCGAGGCGGAAUCCGGAGGAAGCCGGAGGCAAAAGCACGGGCCAAGGUACACGAACUGGAUUUGAGGCAGGAUGAGAUGGAUGAGUUGCCUGCACACAACGAAAUCCAUAGCCGCCAAAGGUCUCAUCCUGUAAACUCCAGUGGUCGCGGGCGGAAAGUUGA
rnacentral:ncRNA from 1 species